rfam:Flavobacterium sp. LM5 Flavobacterium_sp_LM5_contig1, whole genome shotgun sequence.
UUUUAGCCCCGAUUGCAGUGGAAAUCCUUUUUUUACACCUGACAGGUUUAUAAAACCUGUCAGGUGUAAAAAAAGAUUGUAGCGGAAAGCGGGACGAUGU